GCGCCCUGGAACACUCGGGGGCGCCGCGGGACCCAGAAUUCCCGGGGCCAUGGGAGAGACCAUCGGCUCUAACGGAGGGGGGCGUCCCGGGGUGGUGGGGCGGAGUCUGUGUCGUCAAACGGGCAGGAAGUUCCCGUGAGUCUUUGCCAGGAUUACCCUCCCUUCUGUGAGGAAUGGAAUGUUCCGAGUCCUUAAAGGCCCGGGACGCCACAGAAGCGACCUUUCUAUUAUCAUGAUAAUGGAGGUAAGUGGUGUUUGUAGUUGGGGACCAGUAGCAGGCGGCAAAGGCGAAGGAGCUAAAAGCUUCUUAAUUCCUGGGAAGAAGUUCUCGGGAAGCUUCAGUGGGGGGCGCAAGGCGGCUCCCUGUGGCGCGUCUCCGGCCUUCGGGGCGGCGGUGGGGAGAGUCGCGUGGGGCCUAAGAGGGCCGAGGCUCAAGGCCCGCGCGCGUGUCUGUCCCCCUGCGGUCCCCGAAGGCCGGGCCCCCGUUCCCCGGACCCGGCGUGGGAGGUGCGCCAACCCCGGAGGACUGGGUGGCAGAUGCCUCCUUGCAGCGCCUUCAAGCCGGGAACGGCCUCCCACCCUGAGUUUUAGGCAAUGGGCAAUGAUUGUGCCCGGCCCCACUGCAUACAUGGCAUGGAACCUCAAGUGGAAGUUGGAGGAGGUUCUCCUAACCUGGAACUACUUCCACCGCAGUUACAGCCAGAGAUAAACUCCCACUUAAAAUGUCUCGUUUACAACCCAGCGUCCUGCUUAUUUCUCAAGCAAUUACGGCUUAAUCCCAG
rnacentral:lncRNA from 1 species